rnacentral:rRNA from 1 species
CGCCUGUUUAUCAAAAACAUGUCCUUUUGUUUGAUUAUAUAAGGUCUGACSUGCCCAAUGAUUUUUGAAUGGCCGCGGUAUUUUAACUGUGCUAAGGUAGCAUAAUCAUUUGUCUUUUAAUUGGAGGCUGGAAUGAAUGGUUGGACAAAGUAUAAACUUUCUUUAAAUUAUUAUUAUGAACUUAAUUUUUAAGUUAAAAAGCUUAAAUUUUAUUGUAGGACGAGAAGACCCUAUAGAUCUUUAUUUGUGUGAUUGUUUUGUAAUUUAGGGUGUUUAUUUAUUUUUAUAUUCGUAUAAAUUUGAUUGGGGUGAUUUUAGAAUUUAAUUAACUUCUAAUUUGUAUUUUCAUUGAUUAGUGUUUAUAUGAUCCAUUAUUAUUGAUUAUAAGAUUAAGUUACCUUAGGGAUAACAGCGUAAUUUUUUCGGAGAGUUCAUAUCGAUGAACAAAGUUUGCGACCUCGAUGUUGGAUUAAAGUAAGUAAUGAGUGCAGAAGCCCAUUAACUAGGUCUGUUCGACCUUUAAUUUUUUACAUGAUCUGAGUUC